GUCCUCAGACUCUGUGUGGAUUUGUGAGGCUUUUGUGACGGGCUUGUCCCUUCUGUCAGGUCCCUCGAGGAGCAGUCUCUGUCUGAUUUACCCUUGUACCUUCUCUCUUCACCAGCAUAGUACCACCGCUGGUCCUGCUUUGCGGAUGAUGCAUCUGGGGGAGUUGGCAACAUGAAAGCAGCUGGCUGGUAAGUGCCCUUCUAACAUGGUCUUGCAGCUCAGGUGAGAGUUUCUGGUGCUGCAGGAAGCACCUGGCUCCCGCUGGCAGAGCCCGAGGCACCAGGUUUGGCCCCAGCUCCCCAGGGAAGGAAAUUUUUCCUCUUCCUCCAAGUACUUGGAACAGUAUUCUCUGCAAAUCCUGAGAAUGUCUCAGGCCGCCUUUCCCAUCACCUCAGCUUGUUUCAGCGCUGCGAGGACUCUGUCCUGCUUCCAGCUGGAACUAAACGGAGGGACCCACAGCCCUAGGUCCCUGACCUCUGCUACCCAGGGGCCUCCUGGGGCUCCCCCGGGGUCCCCAUCCUCAGCACCCUCUCUGCAAUUUGUGGUCCUUUGUGUGUCUGACGGCUGCCUUGAAACCUCUGUGUUGUCUGAUGGUUUGCAACCCCUGUGUGUCUGAUGCCUUGCAAGCCCUGCUGCAGAUGCCAUGGAACCCACUGGACGUGGGGCCACAGCCAGAGAGGAAAAACUGAGGCUCUGAGCCCAGCUGAUCCCAGCUGGGUUCCUGCCUGCGACAUUUACUGGCUGUGUGACCCUGACCUUGAGUCAUGACUUACCCUCCUUGAACCUAUUUCCUGUUUAGUAAAAGAGGGUGAUUCCUAAGCCAUCACCCUCCUCACAGGGUAGAGAGAGGGCUGGGACCAGAGGUGUACAUAAUGUGCUCAGCAGGGUUCCACAGAAGGUUCUGGAAGGGAGGCAACACUUGGAAGAAGGGAAUGGUCCAGUGUGAGCUGCCCACUGCUGGUCCGACUUCCAGUCAAAGGCAGGCCUGGUCUGCGCCAUUCUGGCAGGUGAAUCUCCGACGGGUGAUUUUCUUCUUCACUGGCUUGAAGAGCUGGAGGUCAAAGUUCAGGGUGAGAGUCCCGAGAGGGAGGGUCCUCGGGGGGGACCUGCCUUCAGGGUGAAGCUCCACCUGCCUCUCUGCUCACCCUGGUGUGUAGGCUCCAAGCAGCCAGCGAGGAUCAUGAGCUGGGCUAGAAUUGCUCCUGAUGGGGAAACAGGGUUUUUGCCAAACUGAGUGAUCUUCCUGCUGAAACAAACACACCAGCAAACGUUAUUAGCGCUCCUCUCCGAAAAUAAUUGACUUCAUUGCACUGUGGUCACCAGGUCGACAGAGAAUCCCCAAUCACUCACGGUAUCGAGAACCAAGAAAAUGACAACAACAGAAGGCAGUGUGGACAUGACACAAAUAUUGGAACCAGGGGACAAGCAUUUUAAGGGAAGUGUGGUAACUAUACCCUGUAAGGUAAAGGAGAACAUGUUCACGGCACAAGAGAGAGGGAAAACUUUGGUAGAGAAAGGGAAGCUAAAUAAAACGAACACUGAAGAACUAAAAACUACAAUGUCUGAAAUAGGGCGCUUGUCAUAAUGGAAGGCACUCAAUGAAGGGGUUAGAUAUUAAAGCAACGUAGAAUGAAAGACACCUUCAGUUUUAUCAGAACUGAACCACAGUGGAAUAUCGUGUAUUUGCAGACAAAAAUAAAAGCUAUCCUGACAGUGA
rnacentral:lncRNA from 1 species